AGUGAACGCUGGCGGUAGGCCUAACACAUGCAAGUCGAACGGCAGCACAGUAAGAGCUUGCUCUUACGGGUGGCGAGUGGCGGACGGGUGAGGAAUACAUCGGAAUCUACUUUUUCGUGGGGGAUUACGUAGGGAAACUUACGCUAAUACCGCAUACGACCUACGGGUGAAAGCAGGGGAUCUUCGGACCUUGCGCGAUUGAAUGAGCCGAUGUCGGAUUAGCUAGUUGGCGGGGUAAAGGCCCACCAAGGCGACGAUCCGUAGCUGGUCUGAGAGGAUGAUCAGCCACACUGGAACUGAGACACGGUCCAGACUCCUACGGGAGGCAGCAGUGGGGAAUAUUGGACAAAGGGCGCAAGCCUGAUCCAGCCAUACCGCGUGGGUGAAGAAGGCCUUCGGGUUGUAAAGCCCUUUUGUUGGGAAAGAAAAGCAGCAGGUUAAUACCCCGCUGUUCUGACGGUACCCAAAGAAUAAGCACCGGCUAACUUCGUG
rnacentral:rRNA from 1 species